rnacentral:pre_miRNA from 1 species
UAACACGCCAGAAAUAAAGCCAAGGAUGAGUUGCCUGAUCAUCAGGACUCAUGGAGGUAGGGCUUUCUGUUUUUGGUGAGUUU